GAAAAGUUAGUUAAAAUAUAAUAUCUGCUUGUCGUGCAGGGGUUGCUGAAGGUUCAGCACUUUUCU
rnacentral:tRNA from 1 species